AGAAGGAAGGCGGAAUCUACACCUUCCCGGCCCACGGUAGCGACUGCAGAACUGCAGGAGACAAUCUUUUGAGACAAGGCAGUUGCGACGGAGGGAGCACUGGGAGCGGGGGCAGCCUGGCAUACACGCCGCACCUCGGGGAUGUUACUGCGCAUGGAACGGCUGCUUGGGGGAGACUAUUGCUCAGAAGAAAAGAUGUUUGGUUUUCACAAGCCAAAGAUGUACCGGAGUAUAGAGGGCUGCUGUAUUUGCAGAGCUAAAUCCUCCAGUUCUCGAUUCACUGACAGUAAAUGCUAUGAAAAGGACUUCCAGAGCUGUUGUGGGUUGCAUGAGAUGCCUUCAGGAGACAUCUGCAAUGCCUGUGUCCUGCUUGUGAAAAGAUGGAAGAAGUUGCCAGCAGGAUCCAAAAAAAACUGGAAUCAUAUGGUAGAUGCGAGGGCUGGUCCCAGUCUAAAGACUACAUUGAAACCAAAGAAAGUAAAAACUCUAUCUGGGAACAGGAUAAAAAGCAACCAGAUCAGUAAACUGCAGAAGGAAUUGAAACGUCACAAUUCUGAUGCUCACAGUACCACCUCAAGUGCCUCCCCAGCUCAAUCUCCUUGGUACAGUAACCAGUCGGAUAAUGGCUCAGAUACGGAGAUGGCUUCUGGUUCUAAUAGAACACCAGUUUUUUCCUUUUUAGAUCUCACAUACUGGAAAAAACAGAAAAUAUGUUGUGGGAUCAUCUAUAAAGGACGUUUUGGGGAAGUCCUCAUCGACACACAUCUAUUCAAGCCUUGUUGCAGCAGUAAGAAGGCGGCUACUAAGAAGUCAGAGGAGCAGGGGCCAGAGCCUCUGCCGAUCUCCACCCAGGAGUGGUGACUGAGGUUUUUACAUAGAAGGGGAACAAAA